rnacentral:rRNA from 1 species
GACGAACGCNNGCGGCGUGCUUAACACAUGCAAGUCGAACGAAGAGCGAUGGAAGCUUGCUUCUAUCAAUCUUAGUGGCGAACGGGUGAGUAACGCGUAAUCAACCUGCCCUUCAGAGGGGGACAACAGUUGGAAACGACUGCUAAUACCGCAUACGAUCUAAUCUCGGCAUCGAGGAUAGAUGAAAGGUGGCCUCUACAUGUAAGCUAUCACUGAAGGAGGGGAUUGCGUCUGAUUAGCUAGUUGGAGGGGUAACGGCCCACCAAGGCGAUGAUCAGUAGCCGGUCUGAGAGGAUGAACGGCCACAUUGGGACUGAGACACGGCCCAGACUCCUACGGGAGGCAGCAGUGGGGAAUCUUCCGCAAUGGACGAAAGUCUGACGGAGCAACGCCGCGUGAGUGAUGACGGCCUUCGGGUUGUAAAGCUCUGUUAAUCGGGACGAAAGGCCUUCUUGCGAAUAGUGAGAAGGAUGACG